AAAUUCAAACUCAGAAACCCGAGCAAGCACAGCCGCGGGUUAGAAGUCGAAUAGAGCAUGCGUAACUGGGGAACGGGGAGGGGAAUGAGUAAAUGACUGUGUAUUGUUUCACGCGUGCGCAGAAAGACAACCCAGCGGCCCCUCGUGGGAUCCGGACGCACCGGGGAAAGGGGCCCCCUUCUCUUGUGUCCGGGGCUGGUGGUGCUGAGACUCAGAGAAUUCGAGGCCACGUUCCUUUACUUUUCCUUUACUACCCCACAUUGGGGAUGGCUGUCGAGUGUGGCCUUACCACUCUGUAAUCUGUACCUCCCCUCAGUUUCUCCGUAUGUGGAGGGCCAGUGGCGCAAUGGAUAACGCGUCUGACUACGGAUCAGAAGAUUGUAGGUUCGACUCCUGCCUGGCUCGAGUUUUUGUCACAAUAGAUUUUAAAAACCAAAGAUUAUUACUUCUUUAGGGUUCUUCAAAUCACAAACGCUAAGAAUAUUUUACCGCACUUUGAACUCAGAAAGCUGUUGCGCGUCGUUUCCAGAACCACCCCGUCGAACUCCCGAGCGCUAACGAGACGCUGCCGCCCCCGCGGGGGCCGCGCUGAGGAAAGCUGGGGGUGAGCCGCUCAGGGACUCCAGGUUUGUUGACAGAACCUUGAAAAUUAGGCCGCAAGGAAAGAGCCUUCAUCUUAUUCCUACCUUCUCCUCAUUUUACAGAAAAGAAAGUGCAUUGCAGAUCUCUGAGAAGAGAUGAAUCUGGACAACAUUUCAGGAGUGAAGAUUAUUUGGGUACCAGAGCAGCUUACUCAGAAGCAUAAAACCUUCACCAGGCUGGAGAACAACUGGAAAGUCCACAUCUAAAAAUAAACAAAGCAAAGCAAUAAACACCAUCUGAUCAUGUUACAUUUCCUUUAGUGGGGCAAGUGGUGGAUAUUUUUGUUGAAAUGAUGAUUGACAAACCAAUUCAUUUCAUAAGAUAUUGAGGAUGCCUGCCCUUUAAAGGAUUUCAAAAGAGAGGAGACACUGUUUUACUCUUCAGUUAAGUUCUGUCAGUUAUGGAAUUAGAAAACGAAAGCACUGAAACCAACUUUCAAGUUCAGGCAAUUGCUGAACCUGGUGAACCUGAACUUUAGUUUUCACCAUCUUGUGGGGAUGAGGACAGAUCCAUCACAUAGACCCUAGUGUAUAUCUGUAUUAAAAAUGCCUCUUAAAGUUGUUCAGUGUACAAUUACAUAUAUGGCCCUGGUUGGGAGAGAGGUCAAAGCCCAGAGCUUGCUUAGAUGACAGUUUAAUAGGAAGCUCCCCACAUAAAGCUAGUAUCCAAAAUGGUUAUGCACUCUCUAAAUCACCAUACCCCUAUAUCUACAAGGACAUUUGUUAGUCCUGAGUUUUGGUGCUGAGGUAAAAGAAGAAAGAACUCCCCUACAAAUAUUUAAUGGCAAGCCAAUGAGCACACAUAUUGGCAGACCAAAUUUAAAUAUAUAUUCUAAGAAAUUGCAAGCUGAUAGUUUAAUUUAAAAUGGUCCAGUAUAAGAUGCGCUCCCAAGCACCUACCAGAAGAGGAUGGCCCCAUCUUCAACCCAGAUCUCAAAGAAUCACUGAAAUAUUGCUAAAACACAUGAACUCAAGGUAAAAAUGAAUAGAAAGAUAGGGGAGAUAGAGUUAGAGAAAUAGAGACCCUCAAAAAAUAACUAAAAAAUUGUAAGAAACAUGAACUCAGUAAAAAACAGGGAGAGAGAGCGAGAGAGAGAGAUUGAAAUAUUGAGAAGGAAAGAGUGAAAGAUUACACACAAAAACAAUGCACACUGAGAGCUAGUAGAAACAAUAGAAGGCCAAAUCAGACUCAGAAAGACUUCAAAUCCCUCACUUUAAAGACACAGAAUUAAAAAAAAAAAAUUAUAUGUGUUUAAGUGAUCAAGUGGAUUUUGAAACUAAUACAAAAGAACUUGAGAUCAAAAUAUCUGAAAAUUUCAAAACCUGAUGAAUGGGUUUAACAGCUAAAGAGAGAAUUAAUGAAGUGGAAGACAGAUCUGAGGAGGUUAAUCAGAAUGUCACACAGAGAAACACAAAAAUAAACAUGAAAGAGGUUAAAGGACAUGAAGAAUUUUCAGACAAUAAAAAUGGAAAUUGUGCCACCAAUAGAUUCAGCUUAAAAGCUGUAAUUCAGGCACAAAAAAAGUAUUAGUAGAUGGAAAAUUUGUGCUGUAAAAAGGAAUGAUUGGUAAAGAAAAUGGUAGGUAUAUGAAUAAAAAUAAGGGUUUAUUGACUGUAUACAGCAAUAAUAAUAAUUUAGGAGACUUAAAAUUAAGAUAAAACUAGAAUACAAGAAUAGUGUAUAAAUGAAAAAGGAAGUGAUCAGAGUUAAAAUGUUAAAAAGUUCUUAUAUUGUUCAGGAGGGGGUAAAGAUAAGAAUUAAUUCUAAACUUUGAUAACAAGUAUGCUUGAUAAAUGUUACCCUAAAAGAACAGGGCAGAGAAUAUAAUUUCCAAACUGGAGGAGGGAAAGGAAUGAAAUAUGAAAAAAAUAUUCUAUCAUUAAAAAGAAAAAAUAAACAGAAAAAAAUGUCAAUUUAAAGUGAUAAUUAAAAAAAUAAAGUAAUAACUAAUUAUAAGUAUCUAGCCCUCGUUACUCAGGUAGUCAAUAAUAGAGCUGGUAUUCAAACCUAGGCAGUAUUUCCUAAGUCUUUUAAAAACUGUACUAUACUAGCUCUCAUGAAAGAGUAAGUUAGUAGAAAAAAAAAUCAAAAUACAUCAUUAAUUAUAAUAAAUAAAAUGGACUUAAUACCUUUUUAAAAAGAAAAAUAUUCUCAAACUGAAUAAAUCCCACCCCCUACCAUAUGUUGUUUGUAAAAUACACAUCAAAAAAAUAUAAGAGCAAAAUAAUUGAGAGUAAAAAGAUGUAAACAUCUUUACCACACAAACACUACUAAAGAGAAAGCUAAUGUAACUAUAUUUUAACAAAGCAAAAGACAAAAAGCAUUGAUAGAGCUAAAGAGUAACUAUGUAAUAUAAUAUUCAGUUCACCAAAUAGCUAUUAAAGUUCUAAACUUAUAUACACUAAUAAAAUAGCCUCAAAAUACAUGAAGCAAAAUUGAUAGAACUUUAUAGAAAAAUAGAGAAAUCCAUCAUCACAGUAGAAGAUUUGAAUGCUUCUUUCAGUAACUGAUGAAGCAAACAAAAAAUUCUUUAAGGAUAUAAAACAUUUGAUAAGUACAGUGUUCUGGACUAAAUUGUGUCACACACACUGCCCCCCCCCCUCAGUUCAUAUGUUGAAGUUCUAACCCCCAGUACCUCUAAUGUGAAUCAUAUUUGGAGAGAGCACCUUUAAAGAGGUAAUUAAGUUAAAAUGAGGUCCUCAGAGUAGGCAUUCAUUCAAUAUAACUGGUGUCAUUAUAAGACGAUAUUAGGACAUAGAUACACAGAGGGAAGACCAUGUGAAGACAUGAGGAGAAAAUGGCCAUCUACAUGCCAAGAAGAGAGGCCUCAGAAGAAUUCAACACUGUCACACCUUAAACUUUGACUUCUAACCUCGAGAAUUGGGAGAGAAUAAAUUUCUGUUGUUUAAGCCACCCUGUCUGUGGUACUUUGUUAACAGCAGCCCUAGCAAACUAGUACAUAUAAUAAAUUGGAUUUAUUUAAUAGUCAUAUAUGAAACAGUGAAACUAAAAAAUGCAGAAUGUAUUAUUUUGAAGCAAUGUGGAACAUUUAUAAAAAUUAAGUUAUAGGAUGUAAAGCAAGCCUCAAGAUAUUUUGAACUAUUGAGUCAUGUUUUCCAUAAUUUCUGAUCACAACGCAAUUAAGUUAGACACAAACAAAAAUAACCUGAAAAAUCCCCACAGGUUUACAAAUUAAGACACAUAUAGGCCUAACUUAUAGAUCAAAGAAAAAAUUAUGAAGUGGGGGAAAGAUGGCAGAGGAGUAGGGGACCCUAUUCCAACCGGUCCCCAGAAUUGAGCUGGAUAUCUACCAGACCACUCUGAACACCCACAAAAUCAGCCUGAGAUGUAAGAAGAUAGAUCUGGAUCUCCACAAACAGAAUCUUGCAGGCAGUUGGUUUCGAGGUACGAACUGGGGAGCUGUGAUUCCGGGCACAUAUCAGAGGAUAAAUGGAAGGGGGAGGGAGCCCAGCCGUCGGGAUCCUCUACCGCAGGUGAGCGAUAGCCUCCCAUGCUGGGGACUGGGCACAGACUCGCAGACUGGUAACGAUGGGGAAAGGACUUUAGGGCAGCCCCCCGGAUGGAAACCCGGAGAGGUGGGGCUGCAUGUGUGAACUGGGGUGGCUGGUGGUUUUAGAAGCACAAAGGGCAGAGACAUGCCCCGACCUGGAGGCGAGGACUGGGAGGCUUGCUGAGGGUCCCACAACCCAGGAUGCUGCAGUUUAUAGCAGCACAGACAGAAACGGAGAGAGUGUGGCCUGGAGAGCUCACUGAAGAACAGACUGCGAUCUCUCCACUCUGAGGCAGUCUGCUCUAACUCUCGGAAGAGACAUGGAAAGGCGCCAGGGAAAGCCACCAGAACAGAACAAAAGCCCCCCAAAACCGGUUUUCACUGAGCCCAUACCCAGCCACAGGGGGCAGGGUAACUCUGUCCAAACAGGGUUGCCUGAGUAACAGCGCAGCAGGCCCCUUCCCCAGAAGACAGGCUGGGAAACGAAGAGGCCAGUAACCCUAAGUUCCCUAGAAAACAGGUGCAUCUUGCUUGGGUUGUGGUCAAUAAUUUGGACUCCAUACAUUCCCUCAACCACCCCUCAACAGAAUGACUAGGAGGAGGAACCCCCAAAAUAGGAAAGACUCAGAGACUAUGACUUAUGCCACAGAUUUACAAAUGGAUUCAGAUAUAACCAAGAUGUCAGAGAUGGAAUUCAGGCUAGCAAUUGUGAAGACAAUAGCUAGAAUGGAGAAAUCAAGUAAUGGCAACACAAAGUCUCUAAGGGCAGAAAUGAAAGCUGAAUUGGCAGAACUUAAAAAUGCAAUCAGUGAGAUCCAAUCUAAUCUAGAUAAUCUAACAGCUAGGGUAAGCGAGGCAGAAGAACGAAUUAGUGACCAAUUAAUAAACAAAAAGGGAAAAGAGGAGGCCAGGGAAAAACAACUCAGAACCACAGAACACUCAUGAAAGAAAUUGAGGAAGACACAAAAAAGAUGGAAAAACAUUCUAUGCUCAUGGAUUUGAAGAAUAAACAUUGUUAAAAUGUCUAUGCUACCCAGAGCAAUCUAUACUUUCAAUGCCAUCCUGAUCAAAAUUCCAAUGACAUUUUUCAAAGUGCUGGAACAAACAAUCCUAAAAUUUGUAUGGAAUCAGAAAAGACCCCGAAUCGCCAAGGAAAUGUUGAAAAAGAAAAAGCUGGGGGCAUCACGUUGCCCAAUUUCAAGCUAUAUUACAAAGCUGUGAUCACCAAGACAGCAUGGUACUGGCACAAAAACAGACAUAUAGACCAAUGGAACAGAAUAGAGAGCCCAGAUAUGGACCCUCAACUCUAUAGUCAAAUAAUCUUCGACAAAGCAGGCAAAAAUAUGCAAUGGAAAAAAAAGACAGUCUCUUCAAUAAAUGGUGCUGGGAACAUUGGACAGCCACAUGCAGAAGAAUGAAACUCGACCAUUCUCUAACACCAUACACAAAGAUAAACUCAAAAUGGAUGAAAGACCUAUAUGUGAGACAGGAAUCCUUCAAAAUCCUAGAAGAGAACAUAGGCAGUAACCUCUUUGACAUCGGCCACAGCAACUUCUUUCAAGAUACAUCUCCAAAGGCUAGUGAAACAAAAGCAAAAAUGAACUUCUGGGACUUCAUCAAGGAAACAGUCAACAAAACAAAGAGGCAACCAACAGAAUGGGAGAAGAUAUUUGCAAAUGACACUACAGAUAAAGGACUGGUAUCCAAGAUCUAUAAAGAACUUCUCAAACUCAACACCCAAAAAACAAAUAAUCAAGUCAAAAAACGGGCAGAAGACAUGAACAGACACUUCUCUAAAGAAGACAUACAAAUGGCUAACAGACAUAUGAAAAAAAUGUUCAUCAUCAUUAGUCAUCAGGGAAAUUCAAAUCAAAACCACAUUGAGAUACCACCUUACACCAGUUGGAAUAGCAAAAAUUGACAAGGCAAGAAACAAGAAAUGUUGGAGAGGUUGUGGAGAAAGGGGAACCCUCUUACA